GACGAACGCUGGCGGCGUGCUUAACACAUGCAAGUCGAACGAUGAACUUGGAGCUUGCUCUGGGGGAUUAGUGGCGAACGGGUGAGUAACACGUGAGUAACCUGCCCUGGACUCUGGAAUAACUUCGAGAAAUCGGAGCUAAUACCGGAUAGGACCUUGCACCGCAUGGUGUGGGGUGGAAAGGUUUUCGGUUUGGGAUGGACUCGCGGCCUAUCAGCUUGUUGGUGAGGUAAUGGCUCACCAAGGCGUCGACGGGUAGCCGGCCUGAGAGGGUGACCGGCCACACUGGGACUGAGACACGGCCCAGACUCCUACGGGAGGCAGCAGUGGGGAAUAUUGCACAAUGGGCGCAAGCCUGAUGCAGCAACGCCGCGUGCGGGAUGACGGCCUUCGGGUUGUAAACCGCUUUUAGUAGGGAAGAAGCCUUCGGGUGACGGUACCUGCAGAAAAAGGACCGGCUAACUACGUGCCAGCCGCCGCAGUAAAAC
rnacentral:rRNA from 1 species